rnacentral:lncRNA from 1 species
UCAAAAAGACAAAACAGAAGACAAAAAUAACACAAAGUUAUUUUAAAAAUACAGAGAAGAAAUAAAAUAGCGAAAACAUGAGGUGAUGCAGAACUUUUAUCUAUCAUUAAAAAUAAUGCAAUAAAAUGAAACCAUUCCCCUUAUCAGAUUAGGAGAUGUAAAUCCUGAUAACAUCCAAUGUGGGUAAAGGUGUAGGGGAUCAGGUGCUUUCACACACUGCUGCUGGAAAUGUACAGUCUUUUUUGGAAAGUGUCAAAUUUUCAAAAUGUAUCUAUCCUUAAACUUAGCAAUCGGCAGGGCACGGUGGCUCACGCCUGUAAUCGCAGCACUUUGGGAGACCAAAGCAGAUGAAUCACCUGAGGUCAAGAGUUCAAGACCAGCCUGGCCAACACGAAAGAAGCUCUCACAGUGGAAGACUAUAAUAUGACAUAAGAAGAAAUGUGGACUUGGAGAUACAGAAGCUCCACACUGAAGAGAAAAACCAACAUCCUACAAUGAUGGGGUUUUUUUUAAAGACACCCAAGAAGCCACCUGAAGAAUCAGAACAGGGAUGGAACUCAUCCAAACUCCACUUCCCCGAGAAAAUCAUCACAAUUUGACUUAUCUGGCAUUUCCCUGGAAAAACUCACACAAAGGGUACUCUUUUUGUGUGUAUGUAUGUUUUGUUUUGUUUUGUUUUGAGACAAGAUCUCGUUCUGUCACCCAUGCUGGA